rnacentral:rRNA from 1 species
CCCUUAGAUGUUCUGGGCCGCACGCGCGCUACACUGAUGCAUUCAACGAGCCUAUCCUUGACCGACAGGUCCGGGUAAUCUUUGAAUCUGCAUCGUGACGGGGAUAGAUUAUUGCAAUUAUUAAUCUUCAACGAGGAAUGCCUAGUAGGCGCAAGUCAUCAGCUUGCGUCGAUUACGUCCCUGCCCUUUGUACACACCGCCCGUCGCUCCUACCGAUUGGGUGUGCUGGUGAAAUGUUCGGAUUGUGGGUUCGGAGCGGUUCGCCGUUCUGGGCUUGCGAGAAGUUCGUUAAACCCUCCUAUCUAGAGGAAGGAGAAGUCGUAACA